ensembl:lncRNA
GGGAGACCUGUUCCGGGAAGAGCUGUCACCAUAGAUAGCUAAAAUUAGCCCAGAACUAGCUACUGCCAAUCCUCCUCUUUUUGCUGAGGAAGCCUGGCCCUGAGCUAACAUCCAUGCCCAUCCAUCUUCCUCUACUUUAUAUGUGGGACACCUACCACAGCAUGGCUUGACAAGCGGUGCCAUGUCUGCACCUGGGAUCCGAACCGGUGAACCCUGGGCCGCCAAGAAGUGGAACUUGCAAACUUAACCGCUGUGCCACUGGGCCGGACCCCACUAAUCAUGAUUCUACUUCAGAAAAAGAGCCAACUCUCUAAACAGAAAUAUAUUGAACUGCUACACUAGGUCUUGUUCAAGGACCUACCCUGAUCUAGGACUGCCGGGGGUUUUGGAGUAUCAUCACCUCUUCUCUGUCUAAAGACAAAAGUUGAAAAUCAUAGUUCCAUUUGGUUUUAUCUUUUCUCCAGUAUCUUCCCCCCCGAAAUUUAAUUUUAUCAUGUUGAUAAAACAAUGAAAAAGCAUGUGAAAUAAAUCAUUUUAAAGCUACGUUUAGCUCAGAGCAGCAAAUUUUUAUAUAGCAUUAGAGUGCGUUUUAAAUGGAUAACAUUUAUAUUCAAUGUUUUAAACUUGUCUAGAAAACGAUUCCAUCUCAGACAAACACACACAUGCGAGCGCAUGCACUCAGUCACUCCGGCGACCGUCUAUUGCGAACGUGGAUGUUGAGAUGCUCUGCUCACGAAGCAGAGAAGAUGGAGCAGUUGUAGGUGAAAACUAAGAUAAGCUGCGACUUCUUGGGAACCUACUUGUCUGCCUUUAUGAGGCUCAGCUUUUUCACCUGCAAAAUAUGCAUCAGCCUAGAUUUUUCUCCUCCUAGUUUCCUUCCAACAAAAAUAAUUACGUGAAUUCAUUACUCAGUUGUAGGAAAUUUGACUCUGCAUUCUGAAACUGAGGAGCAGAAUAAUUUUGGGAACAGGGAUUAUAUUUCCGCUCUAUGGGCCUCUAACAGUCCCAGCUAUGUCUUUUAGACUGACCAAGACCAUUUGUAUCAAAAUGAAAGAGUAUGCUUUUUCAAAAAGCCGUUUUCUUGUUCUUUUCCGUAUCUAUUGAAUCAGAAUAUAUAAGGUGACGCCCAGAAACCUGCUUUUUAUUUAUUUAGUUUUUUGAGGAAGACUGGCCCUGAGCUAACAUCCAGGCCCAACUUCCUCUACUUUAUAUGGGGGAUGCCUGCCACAGCAUGGCGUGCCAAGCGGUGCCGUGUCUGCACCCGGGAUCCGGAUUGGUGAACCCCGGGCCGCCAAAGCGAAACAUGCGAACUUAACCGCUGUGCCACUAGGCCAGCCCCCAGAAACUUGAUUUUUAAAUAA